AAAAAGUCAAAUCCUAGAUUUCCGUGUCUAACUUUAACUGUCCGUUUUAUAUAAAAUUUUUUUAUAAUUCAUAUUUUUAUUUUUGUUAGAUGAUAAAAUAUGAUUAAUAUUUUAUGCGUGACUUGUCUUUUUAAUUUUUUUCAUAUUUUUUUUCAAAUACGACGGACGGUCAAACGUUGCACAUGCAAACCAGGGUUUGUCUUUUU
rfam:Oryza rufipogon genomic scaffold, chr01